rnacentral:rRNA from 1 species
UAGGGAAUCUUCCGCAAUGGGCGAAAGCCUGACGGAGCAACGCCGCGUGAGUGAUGAAGGUCUUCGGAUCGUAAAACUCUGUUAUUAGGGAAGAACAAAUGUGUAAGUAACUAUGCACGUCUUGACGGUACCUAAUCAGAAAGCCACGGCUAACUACGUGCCAGCAGCCGCGGUAAUACGUAGGUGGCAAGCGUUAUCCGGAAUUAUUGGGCGUAAAGCGCGCGUAGGCGGUUUUUUAAGUCUGAUGUGAAAGCCCACGGCUCAACCGUGGAGGGUCAUUGGAAACUGGAAAACUUGAGUGCAGAAGAGGAAAGUGGAAUUCCAUGUGUAGCAGUGAAAUGCGCAGAGAUAUGGAGGAACACCAGUGGCGAAGGCGACUUUCUGGUCUGUAUCUGACGCUGAUGUGCGAAAGCGUGGGGAUCAAACAGG